GGCGGAGGUGGGGGAGAAUCUAACAGAGGAGGAGGAGGCGAAGCCGGGGAAGAAUCUAGCAGCGGAGGAGGGUGAAUUUUUUUUCAGCGGGACAGGUCUGUGCUCCUUCCGACCUUCCCCCAUGGAUUUCAUCGUUUCUUGGUUGAGGACAUGUGCGUGCAUGUAUUCUAGUUUGUGCUAAUGCCUGUGUUAUGAUCUGCCUUUGUCUGAUGUUACCCUCUUGUCAUCAUCAGUAAUGAAAAAGGUUGGCUGUCAGAUCUUAAUUUUGUGAUCUGCUCCUUUAAUAGUAUAUCAUGAUGAUGUUGAUGCAGAUUUGCAUCCGUGUUGGAUUAGAUUAUCCUGAUAUUGUUCUAAUUUGUGAGCAUGAGUGAAAUUUUGAAUUGUUAGAUGAAAUCCUCAUAUUAUUGCCUAACAUGUUUGUGUAUUUCUGAAUUUUAACAUGGUUUACCCCUGCAUAAACAGUAUUUGGACUAUGUUAGUAUGCUUAGGAUACUCCAUUAUGUUUAUUAAUGGCACAUCAUUACAUUUUUUCUCAAAAUUUACCUGUAUCUAUCAUAUACUGGAGUACGGCCUCACGGUCACAGGAUGUGUUUUGCUGUUCUGAACCAUGAGAUUGUGUUUAGGUAGGCCAAGAUCAUUCUAGCUUUGAUAGUCUGUAUUUUGCACAGAUUUUAUUUACCUACAACAAGCCGAUUUACAUGUUUUUCUGGUGUUUUAUUUUCCUGAUGAUAUCAUCGCUGUGGAAAAUAAUUUAAUUGGUAAGUUGACCAUAAUAGUCAUACUGGACACAUCCAAAACUAUCCAUGUGAAAUAUCAAACCGUAUUUUCAUUCCCACUUGAGCUUAAACAGGCGAAAGAUUGUGUAUGCAGUUAUUUUAAGGUAUAUUCAUUGAGACUGUACUGAGUACAUAUUAUUCCAAGGGAGCUAGAUAGAUUUCAGUCCUUGAUGCAACAGCAGGAGAACCUACAUGUAAUUCAUGAGACUGUGCAUGUUCUUCUUACCUUUCUCUUUGACCCUAGAUAUUUUGUUGGACUAGUUAACUUUGUGGUAGCGGCAACUCUGCAGUAAAGGUCUUUGUCCAGUAUGCAAUUGCGUGUGGUCCUUAGGUAUUGUUCUUUAAGGGUGCUUUUAUUUCUUCACUAGUAUUUCUUCUUAAAAGUUUGCUGCUGGGUACUGUUUAGGGGAUGUAUUGAUGCCCUGUGGAUGUCUGAACUAACUCAGUUGCGGAACUCAAUUGUUGAUACUUUCUUUCUGGUUGUGUUGAUCAAAGAUGCUAUGUGUUGUUUGACUUAAAAUCGCGUAGGCAUGGGAAUGCUUUUGCAAUAUGUUAUUAGCUUUUGGCCUUCAGUUCUUUAUGUAUAUCUGACUUCUAGUGCAUUCUCUAUUUUCUUAAAGAAUGCCGUGUUGGACCUCUAGUUCCGCCACACCGCCGCUUCGGCAGAUCCUUCAAUUUCGACGGCCUUAGCCGCAUGCCGUAACAUACUAUUGGCCAUUUUGCAACAAUAUGACAGUUUGAUAUCAUUUUUUAUUUGAUUGGAUCCACCUCUCGUGAUGGAUAUGUAAACCUUGGCGAUUUACACCAUUGGAUUUUCGUUCCUGCCAGAGGACACCGAAGACACCAAAGCACUCGAGAGGAGAUGGCGGGCCAGCGGACCAGCCACUUCUCCAAAUUGCCGCCGGCGACCUCAUCCGCGCCGAGCUCGUGUCCAUCGGUCUGCAGGUGAGGAUAGCUUAUUCCUGAACUGAUAACUUUAGUUUAGAUUUUCUAUCCCCUAUAUUAUGCAAGCUGGGGUUCUAGACUUCUAGUAUCUGAUGCAGGUGGAGCAUAAUUUCAACAGAGUACAUAUGCAAUAAGAGAGUAAUUAUAAGAUUGGAAUUGCAGGAUGUUGGGCUGAGAGAGGUCGGAGGCAAAUCGUGGCUCAUCCGGGGUGGAACGGGAGAAGGGGCCUUGGAGCGGCAGCGCGAGAGGGGCUGACGCUAG